GUUGAACGCUGGCGGCAGGCUUAACACAUGCAAGUCGAGCGGGGAUGAGGUGCUCGCACCUUAUCUUAGCGGCGGACGGGUGAGUAAUGCUUAGGAAUCUGCCUAUUAGUGGGGGACAACAUUCCGAAAGGAAUGCUAAUACCGCAUACGUCCUACGGGAGAAAGCAGGGGAUCUUCGGACCUAGCGCUAAUAGAUGAGCCUAAGUCGGAUUAGCUAGUUGGUGGGGUAAAGGCCUACCAAGGCGACGAUCUGUAGCGGGUCUGAGAGGAUGAUCCGCCACACUGGGACGGAAAAGCGGCCCGGACUCCUACGGGGGGGAGCAUUGGGGAAUAUUAGACAAGUGUGGGAAGCCUGAUCCAGCCAUGCCGCGUGUGUGAAGACGGCUUUAUGGUUGUAAAGCACUUUAAGCGAGGUGGAGGCUACUGAGACUAAUACUCUUGGAUAGUGGACGUUACUCGCAGAAUAAGCACCGGCUAACUCUGUGCCAGCCGCUGCCGUAAUAC
rnacentral:rRNA from 1 species